rnacentral:rRNA from 1 species
CCGGGGAUAACAGGCUGAUACCGCCCAAGAGUUCAUAUCGACGGCGGUGUUUGGCACCUCGAUGUCGGCUCAUCACAUCCUGGGGCUGAAGUAGGUCCCAAGGGUAUGGCUGUUCGCCAUUUAAAGUGGUACGCGAGCUGGGUUUAGAACGUCGUGAGACAGUUCGGUCCCUAUCUGCCGUGGGCGCUGGAGAACUGAGGGGGGCUGCUCCUAGUACGAGAGGACCGGAGUGGACGCAUCACUGGUGUUCGGGUUGUCAUGCCAAUGGCACUGCCCGGUAGCUAAAUGCGGAAGAGAUAAGUGCUGAAAGCAUCUAAGCACGAAACUUGCCCCGAGAUG